UCAUUUUCAUGUCAGGAAUAUAUGUAGUAAAACGCAAAUUUGGACUGUCAUGUUAUGUCUGCUCGAUCUUUGUUUACGUGGCCAACACAUAUUCUUUUGGUAUGGUUUCAGUGAACCUUGUGCUUGACCACUCGAGUUUUUUUUAUAUGUUUUUCCAUAAUGAAAACUAUCAUAAAUCUUUUGGUUUUUCCUUAGGUUCUCUCCAAGUCAGGACUGCAAUUCCUUGCUCUGCUGCCUACACUAAUGCCUAAUUGAGGGUCAUUGCUGAGUGUGGUAAUUGGUAGGAUGACAAAUUUUGUAAACUCAUGUCGCUGUUUGCUAUAAUUAUUAUCAUUUUGUUGUAGAUUCUUGUAGUUUUUAUUCUUUUUAUUGUCUGUUUUUAGUGAUUGUUGUCCUUAAUUUCUGCUGCAUAAAACAUGUACUAGAGGACUUGAAUUUGCAUGUUUUGAAGCAUUAGUUUUUCAGUGGUUGGCUGGUUUCCGAAGGAAUUGAUGAUUGGCUAUCAAGAAAUAUAGAUAUUAGUUUAUGUAUAAAGCUCAUGUGGAGUAUUCGUUUUAUUNNNNNUAGUAGUUGGAUUUAUUUUCUGUUCAGUUUGGUUUUUAGGUGUUAGUUUGUUCUUGAGAUCGUUUUGUUCUUGAUUCGAUGCUGUUAAUUCCAGGAUUUAUGUAUGUAUAAUUAUAUAAUGACUAUGCACCUCAUCUACAACCUGUGUAGGAGAUGCAUGGAGGAUGAAGUUGGAUGCGUUUGGAGCAAUUAUGCAGGAAAUUCUGAAUUCUUAAACUAAAUUUGUUAAUCGGAUGCAUUCAAUAAUGAAUGAGGUAAGUUUUAACCGUAGAUUCUUUAUGUGACGCUAAUUAUUUCAAUACGAAUGUUACAUUUACCAUCGCCUAGCAAUAGUGGUACUGGAAAAGGGGCGCUUCUAACUGUAUCUUGAAAGGUUUAGCAAGUAAUAUAUCUUAUAUAAUUUUGACAUUAAAUUUGAAAUUUAUUUCCCAUGGCCUGUUUCAUUUUUGUUAUACUACUCAUUUAUAUGUUAUGGUUAUAAGUAUGUGUUUAGCCUAGCUCUCAAUGUUACACAUUUUAUUUUUCUUAUUGUCUCGGUUAUAAGUCAGUUUCAUGUUUGUUCUCUUA
rnacentral:lncRNA from 1 species